rnacentral:rRNA from 1 species
UACAGAGGUCCCAAGCGUUGUUCGGAUUUACUGGGCGUAAAGCGCACGUAGGCGGAUUGGUCAGUUAGAGGUGAAAUCCCGAAGCUCAACUUCGGAACUGCCUUUAAUACUGCCAAUCUAGAGUCCGGAAGAGGUGAGUGGAACUCCUAGUGUAGAGGUGGAAUUCGUAGAUAUUAGGAAGAACACCAGUGGCGAAGGCGGCUCACUGGUCCGGUACUGACGCUGAGGUGCGAAAGCGUGGGGAGCAAACAGG